rnacentral:tRNA from 1 species
ACUACUAUGGUGUAAAUAGCACAGUAAGUUUUCAUCUUACAAGAAUAAUAUAAUUUAUUUGUAGUC